rnacentral:lncRNA from 1 species
UAAAUCCAUUUUUUAAAUCAAUUGAUCAUCGAUGAUCAUACGAAUAUCCUGAAUUUAACAAUAUUGAAUUUGAUUCCUGUAUAUUAAAUUACUUUUUAAAGAAAUUUAAAUCAAUUCCGAUUAUUAGAAACUGAUGAUCGAGUAAUUAUUCCAAUAAGAAUUCCUUUACGAUUAAUUACUUCAUCAACAGAUGUAAAUCAUGAACUGUUCCAUCUUUAGGAAUUAAACUUGAUGAACACUUCCAGGACGAAUUAAUCAAGUUUAAUUAGAAAACGACCAGCAAUUUUCUUUGAACAAUGUUCAGAAAUCUGUGGAAUAAAUCAUAGAUUUAUACUAAUUAUAGUUGCAUCGAU